GACGAACGCUGGCGGCGUGCUUAACACAUGCAAGUCGAACGGAAAGGCCCUGCUUUUGUGGGGUGCUCGAGUGGCGAACGGGUGAGUAACACGUGAGUAACCUGCCCUUGACUUUGGGAUAACUUCAGGAAACUGGGGCUAAUACCGGAUAGGAGCUCCUGCUGCAUGGUGGGGGUUGGAAAGUUUCGGCGGUUGGGGAUGGACUCGCGGCUUAUCAGCUUGUUGGUGGGGUAGUGGCUUACCAAGGCUUUGACGGGUAGCCGGCCUGAGAGGGUGACCGGCCACAUUGGGACUGAGAUACGGCCCAGACUCCUACGGGAGGCAGCGGUGGGGAACAUUGCACAAUGGGCCGAAGCCUGAUGCAGCAACGCCGCGUGCGGAAUGACGGCCUUCGGGUUGUAAACCGCUUUCGCCUGUGACGAAGCGUGAGUGACGGUAAUGGGUAAAGAAGCACCGGCUAACUACGUG
rnacentral:rRNA from 1 species